UACGUAGGGUGCGAGCGUUAAUCGGAAUUACUGGGCGUAAAGUGUGCGCAGGCGGCAGAGCAAGUCGAGUGUGAAAGCCCCGGGCUUAACUUGGGAAUUGCGCUCGAAACUACUUUGCUGGAGUGUGGCAGAGGAAGGUGGAAUUCCACGUGUAGCGGUGAAAUGCGUAGAGAUGUGGAGGAACACCAAUGGCGAAGGCAGCCUUCUGGGCUAACACUGACGCUCAUGCACGAAAGCGUGGGGAGCAAACAGG
rnacentral:rRNA from 1 species